AGACAACCCGUUGCUGAGCCGGGAGCGCUGACUGGCCCGGCUGGACAGGUCUUGACUCGUCUGCUGGACAAAGCCUCUGACCUCAGGCCGGCUGUGAACGUAGUUCCUGAGAGAUAGCAAACAUGCCCAACAGUGAGCCCGCAUCUCUGCUGGAGCUGUUCAACAGCAUCGCCACACAAGGGGAGCUCGUGAGGUCUCUCAAAGCGGGAAAUGCAUCAAAGGAUGAAAUUGAUUCUGCAGUAAAGAUGUUGGUGUCAUUAAAAAUGAGCUACAAAGCUGCCGCGGGGGAGGAUUACAAGGCUGACUGUCCUCCAGGGAACCCAGCACCUACCAGUAAUCAUGGCCCAGAUGCCACAGAAGCUGAAGAGGAUUUUGUGGACCCAUGGACAGUACAGACAAGCAGUGCAAAAGGCAUAGACUACGAUAAGCUCAUUGAGAUAUGAAUCAGGUUCUUGAUGCCUAUGAAAAUAA
rnacentral:sRNA from 1 species